rnacentral:rRNA from 1 species
AUACGUAGGGGGCGAGCGUUGUCCGGAAUGAUUGGGCGUAAAGGGCGCGUAGGCGGCCUGUUAAGUCUGGAGUGAAAGUCCUGUUUUCAAGAUGGGAAUUGCUUUGGAUACUGAUGGGCUUGAGUGCAGGAGAGGUUAUCGGAAUUCCCGGUGUAGCGGUGAAAUGCGUAGAGAUCGGGAGGAACACCAGUGGCGAAGGCGGGUAACUGGACUGCAACUGACGCUGAGGCGCGUAAGUGUGGGGAGCAAACAGGAUUAGAUACCCUGGUAGUCCACACUGUAAACGAUGAAUGCUAGGUGUAAGAGGUAUCGACCCCUUUUGUGCCGGAGUUAACACAAUAAGCAUUCCGCCUGGGGAGUACGGCCGCAAGGUUGAAACUCAAAGGAAUUGACGGGG